GAUGAAGAACGCAGCGAAAUGCGACAAGUAAUGUGAAUUGCAGAAUUCCGUGAAUCAUCGAAUCUUUGAACGCACAUUGCGCCCUCUGGUAUUCUGGAGGGCAUGCCUGUCCGAGCGUCAUUGCUGCCCUCAAGCCCGGCUUGUGUGUUGGGCCCCGUCCCCCUCUCCGGGGGACGGGCCCGAAAGGCAGCGGCGGCACCGAGUCCGGUCCUCGAGCGUAUGGGGCUUGUCACCCGCUCUGUAGGCCCGGCCGGCGCAAGCCGACAACCCAUCAUCCUUUUCAGGUUGACCUCGGAUCAGGUAGGGAUACCCGCUGAACUUAAGCAUAUCAAUAAGCGGAGGA
rnacentral:misc_RNA from 1 species